rnacentral:rRNA from 1 species
ACCACAACAGGUGGAGCCUGCGGUUUAAUCGGACUCAACGCCGGGAAACUCACCAGAUAAGGCAGCUGAAUGAUAGUCGGGCUGAAGACUCUACUUGACUAGCUGAGAGGAGGUGCAUGGCCGUCGUCAGUUCGUACUGUGAAGCAUCCUGUUAAGUCAGGCAACGAGCGAGACCCACGCCAACAGUUGCCAGCUCGUCCUCCGGGAUGGUGGGGACACUGUUGGGACCGCCUCUGCUAAAGAGGAGGAAGGAAUGGGCAACGGUAGGUCAGCAUGCCCCGAAUUAUCUGGGCUACACGCGGGCUACAAUGGGUGGGACAAUGGGUAUCGACACCGAAAGGUGAGGGCAAUCUCCUAAACCCAUCCGUAGUUCGGAUUGUGGGCUGCAACUCGCCCACAUGAAGCUGGAAUCUGUAGUAAUCGUGUCUCAAAAUGGCACGGUGAAUAUGUCCCUGCUCCUU